rnacentral:rRNA from 1 species
AACGAACGCUGGCGGCAUGCCUAACACAUGCAAGUCGAACGAAGUCUUCGGACUUAGUGGCGCACGGGUGCGUAACGCGUGGGAAUCUGCCCUUGGGUGCGGAAUAACUUCUCGAAAGGGAUGCUAAUACCGCAUAAUGUCGUAAGACCAAAGAUUUAUCGCCCAAGGAUGAGCCCGCGUAAGAUUAGCUAGUUGGUGGGGUAAAAGCCUACCAAGGCGACGAUCUUUAGCUGGGUCUGAGAGGAUGAUCAGCCACACUGGGACUGAGACACGGCCCAGACUCCUACGGGAGGCAGCAGUGGGGAAUAUUGGGACAAUGGGCGAAAGCCUAGGAUCCAGCAAUGCCGCGUGAGUGAUGAAGGCCCUA